AAAAUGACUCUCGGCAAUGGAUAUCUCGGCUCUCGCAUCGAUGAAGAGCGCAGCGAAAUGCGAUACGUGGUGCGAAUUGCAGAAUCCCGCGAACCAUCGAGUCUUUGAACGCAAGUUGCGCCCGAGGCCAACCGGCCAAGGGCACGUCUGCCUGGGCGUCAAGC
rnacentral:rRNA from 8 species